GUAGAAUGGACAAAUAGGUUCCCGGGAUGGUAUACGAUUAGAGGAUCACGUAGACGUUGAUAAGUAAAGGAUAAAUGAGAAAGUGAUUGAGUCUUGGUUUUAAGAUGGGUGCUAACAGGGGGUCCAGUUGUUUGAGAAACGUAACCCUAGGUAAGGCACAGUGGUGAUUGGCUGCGAGAACAGAUUUAGUUCCUUCCUUGUGUGGUUGCGUUGACUGUAGAUCCGAGUAAAUAAUUUGGUAGCUAUUAGCGGGACACAACAAGGAGCUGUCUGAAUCACACUGGGUUGUUUGAGAAACGUAACCCUAGAUAAGGCACAGUGGUGAUUGGUUGCGAGAACAGAUUUAGUUCAUUCCUUGUGUGGUUGCGUCGACUGUAGAUCCGAGUAAAUAAUUUGGUAGCUAUUAGCGGGACACAACAAGGAGCUGUCUGAAUCACACUGGGUUGCCUUACGCUGGAGGUUAAGGGUAAGAACGGAUCUGUGGAUAAGAUCCGAGAUUUCACUUAGGUUAAAGAAUAGUAAUGAAAUAAUGGAUUGUUCUCUUUUGAUGUCAUUCUUAUUGCAUUUCAAUUAUAUAUCUUGUUGCUUGUAAGUUAUGGGUUCGGGUAGGUUUUGGCUACUGAGCGUCAUCGCUUAUGGUACUAUGUUGCCCUGGUAACUCGAACGCCAGGUAUUGAAGACAGAACAGAAGGGCCGUAGGCAAAGAAUGAUUUGAUGAUGACCAAUGAAGAGAUUGUCGACUUUGAAUUCCGUCCUUAGUUGCUCUAACUAAUUUAAAUCGACCUUAUUUUGAGAGCUUUCUGGUUUAUUGGAAAU